rnacentral:rRNA from 1 species
UACGUAGGGUGCAAGCGUUGUCCGGAAUUAUUGGGCGUAAAGAGCUCGUAGGCGGUUUGUCGCGUCUGCUGUGAAACUCGGGGCUUAACUCCGGGCCUGCAGUGGGUACGGGCAGACUAGAGUGCGGUAGGGGAGACUGGAAUUCCUGGUGUAGCGGUGAAAUGCGCAGAUAUCAGGAGGAACACCAGUGGCGAAGGCGGCUCACUGGCCCGAUACUGACGCUGAGGCACGAAAGCGUGGGGAGCAAACAGG